AGAGUUUGAUCAUGGCUCAGGACGAACGCUGGCGGCGUGCCUAAUACAUGCAAGUCGAACGCUUCUGCUUUAACUGAUGCUUGCAUCGACCUAAGUUAGAAGAGUGGCGAACGGGUGAGUAACACGUGGGUAACCUGCCCAUCAGAGGGGGAUAACACUUGGAAACAGGUGCUAAUACCGCAUAACACUAAAAACCGCAUGGUUUUUAGUUGAAAGGCGCUYUUGGUGUCGCUGAUGGAUGGACCCGCGGUGCAUUAGCUAGUCGGUGRGGUAACGGCUCACCAAGGCCAUGAUAGGUAGCCGGCCUGAGAGGGUGAACGGCCACAAGGGGACUGAGACACGGCCCUUACUCCUACGGGAGGCAGCAGUGGGGAAUAUUGGACAAUGGACCAWAAGUCUGAUCCAGCAAUUCUGUGUGCACGAUGAAGUUUUUCGGAAUGUAAAGUGCUUUCAGUUGGGACGAAGUAAGUGACGGUACCAACAGAAGAAGCGACGGCUAAAUACGUGCCAGCARCCGCGGUAAUACGUAUGUCGCAAGCGUUAUCCGGAUUUAUUGGGCGUAAAGCGCGUCUAGGCGGUUUGGUAAGUCUGAUGUGAAAAUGCGGGGCUCAACUCCGUAUUGCGUUGGAAACUGCYAAACUAGAGUACUGGAGAGGUGGGCGGAACUACAAGUGUAGAGGUGAAAUUCGYAGAUAUUUGUAGGAAUGCCGAUGGGGAAGCCAGCCCACUGGACAGAUACUGACGCUAAAGCGCGAAAGCGUGGGUAGCAAACAGGAUUAGAUACCCUGGUAGU
rnacentral:rRNA from 1 species